CCCUUAGAUGUUCUGGGCCGCACGCGUGCUACACUGAGUGGAUCAGCGGGUCAGGUUGCGCGAAAGCGUUUCCUAAUCUUUAAAUCCGCUCGUGAUGGGGAUUGACGGUUGCAAUUUUCUGUCAUGAACGAGGAAUACCUUGUAAGCGCGGGUCAUCAUCCCGCGCUGAAUACGUCCCUGCCCUUUGUACACACCGCCCGCCGCUCCUACCGAUUGAGUGGUCCGGUGAGGCUUUGGGAUCUGAGCGGAAAGAGCGUUUCGCUGUUUCUGCUCGGAAAACUCAGUCGAACCUUACCAUUUAGAGGAAGGAGAAGUCGUAACA
rnacentral:rRNA from 1 species